rnacentral:rRNA from 1 species
GACGAACGCUGGCGGCGUGCUUAACACAUGCAAGUCGAACGGUGAACCCGGAGCUUGCUCCGGUGGAUUAGUGGCGAACGGGUGAGUAACACGUGAGUAACCUGCCCUUGACUCUGGGAUAACUGCGGGAAACUGUAGCUAAUACCGGAUACGACCCUCGGCGGCAUCGCCAGGGGGUGGAAAGAAUUUCGGUCAAGGAUGGACUCGCGGCCUAUCAGCUAGUUGGUGGGGUAACGGCUCACCAAGGCGACGACGGGUAGCCGGCGUGAGAGGGGGACCGGCCACACUGGGACUGAGACACGGCCCAGACUCCUACGGGAGGCAGCAGUGGGGAAUAUUGCACAAUGGGCGCAAGCCUGAUGCAGCAACGCCGCGUGAGGGAUGACGGCCUUCGGGUUGUAAACCUCUUUUAGUAGGGAAGAAGCGAAAGUGACGGUACCUGCAGAAAAAGCACCGGCUAACUACGUGCCAGCCGCCGCCGUAA